UUUCAACUGUGUCACAGACUGCAGCAGACACUUUUAACAGGAGCCAAGUUCAAGAGGACAUAAGAACAACAAAGUCAGUGAAGGAACCCAUUGGAAGUCAGUUAUUUGUGAGUCCUUAUAUUGUUCUUAUCUACCUAACUCAGGAGGAUGGGAGACCAGUAUUGGUUGUUGUAGCACAAGGAGUUAUGGUACCCUGGAGAAUUGUACAGGGUUGUGGCUUUGACAUCAAACUAGAUCUGGAUUUGAGUCUCGGCUUCAUUAUUUCUCAGUCGUAUGGCUUUGGGCUCAUUGCUUCACCUUUAGAGUGUCACGUUUUCCUCAUCUGUAAAAUGUGGAUAACAGAGGAAGUGUGAGAAUUAUAGAGCACUUUGCAAUGUAUCUGACACAUAGUGCAAAAUAAAUAUAUCUGUCGUCAUCGUUAUGUUUAAUUU
rnacentral:lncRNA from 1 species